AUAUAUGUAUUACUCAUAAAUACAUAUACACAACUGAAAAAUACAUAUUCUUCUAUUAUUAUGAAGUGGGUAAAAUAUUGCUACUUUUGCUAUAAGUUGCAAUUUUGAAGAAGUGUUGCUAUUUAUUGUAAUUAUAGUUUAAGGAUGUUAGUUUCUGUAAUUUUUCCAAAUAGAAAUGGAUAAAAAAAAGCAUAAUUGGGCUGGGCUUAAGAAAUAACUCAAUAGCUAUGAACCACUGAUUAGGCUCACCAUGAAUUGGUCCAACAGUAACGCUACACUUCACCUUUGAUCUGCUACAUCCCAUUCCCCUUUGAGAACCUUAAUCUUCAAGGUUGAAAGUUUGAAAACUAUGCAGUGACGAAGGAAUAAUCUUCCCAUGUGGCGUCUUCUGGAGAUAAAUUGGUCCAUUGCACAAGAACUUGAGUCACCUCCCUGUUCCUCUUCUUCACCAGACGCCUAUCGAGAAUCUGUGGCGGAUUCAAGAAUUUUCUUCAAGGGUUCGAAAAAUGAAAAUAUAAAUGUGUGAAUAAGUCAACAAAAUAAAAUUUUAAGAAAUGUAAUAGUAUAUAGUUAUAAAAUACUUAAACUUAAAUAGGAGUAAUUAAUAAGUAAAGAGAAAAGUUAAAAUUGAGGUUUUAAAUUUUGGAAAAGGAAAAAACGGGUUUUAAGUUUUUUUUGUUGAUUUUGUAUUUUAACUUAUUUUAAUUUUUUUUAUAUAGCAAUUAGAGCAGCAAAAACAGCAAGAACACCGCUCGCAGGUAUCGAACCCACAAAGUGGGUGCAGUAAGCAUCCUAGAAUUGGAGAUACAAUCACUGAGCUAUUUAACAACUUUGUUUUAGGUAGUUCAAAAUUAAUAUAUGUACAUAAAUAUAGAUUUUCUACCUUAUAUAUACAACAUAAUUUUUUGUUGAGCGGGUUCGGGUGAACCCCCUGACAACCACGUAGGUCCGCCCCCGUCGAGAACUGUCAUUGGUUCAGCUAUAAGCUGACCAUCUAGGGUGAGGUUCCUUUAGAGGAAAAACAUUGGUUCUAAGCUUCUUCGUACGUUGAGAAACGUGUAAAACUGGGUGGAUUUUAGAUUCACUGGGAAAUUUCAGUUCAUAUGUUACUGCACCGGUCUUUCUAAUUAUUGGAUAAGGGCCAAAAAACUUUGAAGCAAGCUUAAGAUUUUUCCUUACUACAACUGACGUUUGGCGAUAAGGCUGUAAUUUGAUGAAAACCAUGUCUCCAAUCUCAAAUUCUCGUUCACUCCUCUUGCUAUCUGCACUGUUUCAUACGAGAUUGGGCCUUGACCAAAUUCUCUUUGAGUUGCUUGCUCACUAGCUGUCUUUCUUUCAAUACUUGGUCGACUGAUUCAAUCUUAGACUGGACAAUUAGCUUAAUGUAGGUUGAGGGGGUUUAUAUCCAUAAAGAGCCUGAAAUAGAGUCAGACCUAUAGCCGAUUAAAAAUUGGUAUUAUACCAAAACUCUGUUAAUAGAAUCCAUUUGCACCAUUCUUUUGGUUUCUGUCCGGUCAUGCAUCUCAGAUAUGAUUUAAGACAUCGAUUUAGUCAUUCAGUUUUCCUGCUUGUUUGCGGGUGGUAAGCCAAACUUAAUUUAAGUUGAACCUGCAGAUUUUUUAACAGCUCCUGCCAAAAUAAACUCACAAAACUGUAUCCCUAUCUAACACAAUUGAGCAAGGCACUCCAUGUAAUUUGCACACCUGAUCCAAGAACACAUACAUUAUAAGAUGUGAUAGGCUUAUGAAAUGGCUGUAUUUCGUAAACCUAUCAAUUACCACCAAGAUGACAUUUCUCCCUUGUGAUUUAGGCAGACCUUCAAUGAAAUCCAUGGAAAUAUGCUCCCAAGCUUUAUUUGGGAUUGGUAAUGGUUGUAGUAACCCGGGGUAAGCACAACUUCCACCCUUGUUUCAUUGACAAAUUUUGCAUUUUUGAACUACUUUCGUCACAUCUUGUAUCAUUUUUUGCCAGUAAAAAAUUGAUUUGAGUCUUUGGUAUGUGGCGUGUACUCCUGAAUGUCCACCUUAUGCUGUUGAAUGCAUGUCUGUAACCAAUUUAGGCCUAAGACUUUUUUGUGUUCCAAACCACACGUUGCCUUUAAACCUCAGUUGCCCUGACUGUAAAGUUACUUCUUCUGCUUUUGGAUCUAAACUGAGUUUGGUGAUCAAGACUUGAUCUUACUGGUCAUCCUCAUAAUUCUCUACUACCUUUUGAACCCAUUUAGGUAGUGAUACAUACAAGCCAAAACAAUCUGCCCCAUACGUCAACUUCUUUGGCUUCCUCACUUCUCUGAGACAACGCAUUAGCUACAACAUUUUCUUUACCUUGUCUGUAAUGUAUUUCGUAGCUUAAACCCAUUAAUUUUUGUCACUCCAUUAUGUUGUAAGGAAGUAGUAAUGCGUUGAUCUCUAAUGAACUUCAAACUGAAAUGAUCUGUUUUGAUCACGAAGUGAUGAGGCUAGAGGUAAUGCCUCCACUUUUCCACAACAAGCAAAAGAGCAAUCAACUCUUUUUCAUAUGUCGACAAACCCAAAUAUUUUGGACUUAGAGCUUGACUCGUGAAUGCAAUGGGUUUAUUGUUUUGUGAAAAUACUGCUCCAACCCGCAGUCCACUUGAAUCCACCUCCACAGUGAAAGGAAUCUUAAAAUCGAAAAGGGCCAAAAUAGGUGCAUGGAUCAUGGCAUAUUUAAGAGCUUCAAAAGCCAAUGUUGCUUUCUUAGUCCAUAGGAAGCCCUCUUUCUUUGACGAGGUUGUUAAAGACUUGCUGAUCACAGCAUAAUUUUGAAUAAAACGCCUAUAAUAGCCCAUUAAGACUAGGAAUCCGCGCAAUCCCUUGAUGCUCACUGGUAAUGGUUAGUUUAUCAUUGCUUUUAUCUUGGCUUUGUCAGUACUCACUCCCUCACCCAUUAUUACAUGUCCCAGGUAUUCCACUUUGUCCUGCGCAAAACUGCACUUUGAGCGAUUCACAUACAGUUGGUGAGCCACCAAAAGCUCGAACACAACCUGUAAAUGAUGUAAAUGCUUUUGAAGGUCCAGACUGUAUACUAUAAUGUCAUAAAAAAUACCAACACAAAUUUUCGGAGGUAAGGACCGAAAAUACUAUGCAUUAGGGAGUGGAAAGUUGUUGAAGCGUUCGUUAAGCCAAAAGGCAUAACAGUGAACUCCCAUAACCCAUGAUGUGUUUUGAAGGUGGUCUUAUGUUCAUGGCCUUCCUUCAUCCUAAUUUGGUGAUAACCCGAUCUCAAAUCCAACUUUGAGAAAUAGUGUGACCUAUUUAGCUCAUCAAGUAAAUCCUCUACCACCGGAAUUGGGUAUUUAUUUUUAAUGGUAAUGUCAUUGAGAUUGCGGUAAUUGACACAUAAUCUCCAUGUUGAGUCCUUUUUUUACUAAAAACACUAGGGAACCAAACAGUGAAUUACUAGGCCUCACAGUUUUAGCCUCCAACAUGUCACUGAUAAUCUUUUCGAUGGCAUUUUUUUGCUCAUGGGAGUAACGAUAGGGCCUCUGAUUCACUGGCCUUGAACCUGGACAAAGUUCAAUAGCAUAUUCACAAGAAUAAAUAGGUGGCAGGGAGUUAGGUUCCUGAAAGAUCUCCUGAAAGGCAUUCAAAAGGGAUUCAACAGGGUUUGGGAUAAUCUCUUGCUUGUUAGAACCAACUGAUUCUAUUUGACGAAUUUGGGCCACCCAAUUGCACUCGCUUCUUCGUAGAAGCCCACGAAUGGUUUCAGAAUCUUCCAAACCCAAGGAUCGAGAUUCCUGAUAACCCACAAUGGUCACCAUCCUAUUACCUCGAAGAAAUAUAAUACUAUGUGGCCUAACAUGUAACACAAACGGGGCUACCAAAUCGAUCCAAUCCAUACCCAAGAUCAAAUCACAACGGCCGAUUUUUAACAUCCGAAACUCAAAUUCAAAUCCUUCCCCUUGCAUCUGCCAACGUACCCUUGAGCAGAUGAUUAUGCUCACCAUUGUCUCCACAUUGGCAACUCUUACCCUCAUGGUUUUUUCUUAAGUUGUGCAUCUCCAAAUUUAAAUACUCAGCCACUUGUGGAUUAAUGAAGCUAUGGGUAGCCCCAUAAUCUACCAAAAUCACUAAGGGCAUGUUCUUGAGCAGCUCAGAAAUUUUAAUAGUGUUUGGACUGUGAAAACGACCCUCAAUCAUGCUGAUGGUGCCUUCUUCUUCUUCUGCUUCUGUUUGCACUAUCUCAGUGACUUUCCUUUCUUGAUCCCCCAGUUGCCCCUGAUCCUUCACCUUGCUCCACUAAUGGCUCCUCUUCUCCACCCACCAUAUAUUGUAUGCAAGCCUCGUUGCUUGCAUUUAUGACCCAAAAAUACUUUUUAUGGAAAUAGAAACACAACUUAUUUUCCCUCAAUGUUUCAAUAUUUGGGUUUUUGGGCAUUGGCAAUUGGGAUCGUGUGGUAAUAGGUGGUAAAGCCUUGGAAUUUUGUGGUGUGGGUCCUCUUGGACUGUGAGGAAAAGUGAUCCUAGUUUGCGAAUUAACUAUCUUAGGAGCUUGAAUAUCCUUGUAAAUGGCUACCAACGUUUGUUCAUGCAACUUAGCCGUUUCUAAUGCAUCUAUAAUGGACUGAGGGUUAGAAGCUCUAACCAUAGAUGCCAAAUCCGGCUUUAAUCCACCCAUAAAGCAAUACACAAAGUAUGUUUCAUUCAGUGUUGGGUUAAUUAACAGUAAAUAGAAUCGCAACUCUUCAAAUCUAUUAAAAUAACUCUCAACGUCAGCCCACUGUUGAAGCCUAUUAAAUCCAAUAACAAUAUCCAGAGUUCGAAUGUUGCCAUACCUACGACAAUCAUCCCGGCAAAAUUCCUCCCAAGACACCGCUCCGCCAUGUUCCAUCAUGUAAACGUCAAACCAUAAAUCCAUUUUAUCAUUAAUAUGAACAACCACAUAACUCAUAUUUUCAAAAGGUGGAACCUGAUAUAGGUCAAAAAAUUUAUUGCACCACUUUAUCCAACCACGGGGUUAAUUACCAUUAAACUCUGGAAAAGAUGUUUUAGCUUUAGUGCCUCAAUAGGAGUUAUUGGUAGGCGUCUGGGUGCUAUUUUGGGUAAUGAGUUGGAUGUUUUGAGGAAUAUUAGAUUACAAAAAACUACUGUUAUCAAUAGACUGAUACGCUAACGGAGGUAGAUACGUUAGUCCAACCUGAGUUUGAUUAAUGCUUGGAUUCACAUUUUGGGUUGCAAAAUUUGGGCUAGUAACUGAAAGAGGAAUAAAAGGAAAACUGGAUGUCCUGGCUAUGUUAGCAAGUGAUGUGGGGGAUGGGGGGUACAGCGAUGCUUGUGGAUGUUGAGUCAUUGGCAGAGAAAAAUGGGGCAUUGUAUUGAAGGGAGAUGGAGGAAGAGUCAUACCUCUAUUAGCCAUAAAAAAUAUAGGGGUUACCAGAGAAGAAACUGGCCUGAAAUUGCCACUCACAGAUGAGUCUCCUCUUUCGCUAGGAGAGUUUCCGUAAACCAAGGCAGCUCGAGAUCUUCCCCAUGUUAUUGCAUCUAAUCGCUUUUCAGAUUUCAUGUGGCUCAACAAAAUAUCAAGACGACGAGUGUUAUCAUCCUGUUUCUUCAAGUUUUCAACAUUCAUUCUUUGUUGCUUUGCCUCAAGCAUCUCCAUUCUUUUCCCUCAUUAGGGAUGCUUUCUUUUUUAGUUUCAACCAUAAUGAGGCCUCUGGAAAGCCUGUCUCUGGUACCAAUUGUAGCAAAACAGCUACUGAAAAUAGUGAAAGAAAAGGAAUUGACAAGUUAAAACAGUAAAAAAAAAAAAAAAGACUUUUUUCAUUUAUCCAAUACCCCAUACAAGGACUAGUACUUCCUAUAUAUAAUGUUACAUUCAUACUACAGAUGGC
rnacentral:lncRNA from 1 species